UGCAAGCAGGAUGCCAAUCAAGCCUCCCUCCUUGGGGAACAGAGAAACAAAAAGCCUCACGCCACCACACGCUGGUGGGGAAUCGCCACUCUGAAGUGUCGCAGCUUUUCUUUCUCUCCUGGCCACCAACCCCCCAGGCCCGCCCUUCCUCUCUGAUACACCUGGGAUGUCCAGCGAUGCUGCUUCAGGUCAUGGUUUAAGCCCUGGUCCAGGUCUACUGACCGGGCAAACCUAAGACGGUGGCAGAUGCCUGAAAACCACACACAUCACCAUAGCAGAAGCCCCGACCACCUCGGAAAAACUUAGGCUGGGAAAGCAACAACACAGCAACAGAAACUCUAAGACAUCAGGAAUCUCAAGCUGUGGAAGGAGGGGAAGGAGAAAGCCUGUGUCAGCCAGAGGAGGAAUUUACCUCUCAGGAAGAAAUUAUCUCACAGUUUUGAAAACUGACAGGACAGGCAGGACACCAUUUAUGAUGGCUUGGAAAUGCACUUGUCCUGGCUGGUUUUGUGUCAACUUGACACAAGCUGGAGUUAUCACAGAGAAAGGAGCUUCAGUUGAG